CUUCUGCAAAUAAAAGGCUUCUUUAAAGAUAUGAACACAAUAUGUAAAGUUUUGGAUAAUGGGCAGCCUGUGUUACAAAUAAUGUUUUGUGUCUUUUGAAAAAUUACAAGAUGGUUCUGUUAUUAUUGCAAAAUGAUUGUAAAAAACUGUAAUCAGUGAAUAUAAAGUAUAUUCUGCUGGUCCGGUGAAAGAAGCUGCUCCUGUCUGAAGAGAAAACACUCUCAGAACUAUAACACACACAUACAGUAACUGUCAGUAUAAUACAGUACACACACUGUCAGUGUAAGGACUGAGUGUUAUUAGUGUGUGUGUGUGUGUGUGUGUGUGUGUGUGUGUGUGUUGAGAAUCUCACCUCGUCUGAGAGUCUCUCUGAAUAAAA
ensembl:lncRNA